AUUGAACGCUGGCGGCAUGCUUUACACAUGCAAGUCGAACGGUAACAGGGAGCUUGCUCCGCUGACGAGUGGCGAACGGGUGAGUAAUGCGUCGGAACGUGCCGAGUAGUGGGGGAUAACGCAUCGAAAGGUGUGCUAGUACCGCAUACGUACUGAGGUAGAAAGUGGGGGACCUUCGGGCCUCACGCUAUUCGAGCGGCCGACGUCUGAUUAGCUAGUUGGUGAGGUAAAGGCUCACCAAGGCGACGAUCAGUAGCGGGUCUGAGAGGACGAUCCGCCACACUGGGACUGGGACACGGCCCAGACUCCUACGGGAGGCAGCAGUGGGGAAUAUUGGACAAUGGGGGGAACCCUGAUCCAGCCAUGCCGCGUGUGUGAAGAAGGCCUUAUGGUUGUAAAGCACUUUAAGCGAGGAGGAGGCUACUGAGACUAAUACUCUUGGAUAGUGGACGUUACUCGCAGAAUAAGCACCGGCUAACUCUGUGCCAGCCGCCGCCGUAACAC
rnacentral:rRNA from 1 species